rnacentral:lncRNA from 1 species
UGCACACCGGGUUCUAAAGACCAGAAACCUGCCUGAAGGUUGCCUGACGUGUGAUAGGGUUCGCGCUCAGGCGGCCCAGUAACCUUACAGGGUUUGUAGGGCGCCGCAAGGAAUGCGUGUUGGAUACGCCUGCUCCCUGAUCAGAGCCCGGAAAUUACAGGGUUGAUGACAUGGGAAACCACUUCUCACUGGAGAUGAAAUAUCUGGAAUGUGACCUGAUGGUUGGACCUGCUGCAGCCAACCUGGGUUCAUGAGGGAAAUUUGAGGGAAUUCAGAGGCUCUGGACUUAACUAAACCAGAACCAAGAACCACAUGCCUCCGGACUUCCACUUAGGAAACCUCACAGUUAUCUGCGAAUAAUACCUUCGUCCAUCUCCAUGUCGCAAGCAGUGGUCUCUUCUCUAGGCUCGUGCCCGAUGUGGCUAUCUAUCUUCCCAUCUAUAUUUGGAUUCUCCUAAGACUAGAACUACAUAGUCUUCAUGAUAGAGUCUCAGCAAUUCUCUCCUGAUGCUAAUGCAGAGUUUGGAGACUGGACUACCUUUCUAGACCAUCUGGCAAAUGACCAAAUGACUUCUUGGAUCAAGCCUUCCCUUCCUUUUCCAUCUUUCACUGAUUUUUCCCAGUGUGUAAAGUUGAAUUUGGGGUGCCACCAUUCAUCUGAUUCUUUGGUAUGAGGGCUCCUGGGCCUGAGGGCCAUUUCAGGGUCACUGAGGCAAACAACUUGGGUCAAGGGUCCUCCUUUCUCAGCCCAUCACCUCACCUGGCCAGUGGGGAGUUGUGCCAGCCCAGAUUCAGAACUUUUCUGUUAAAAUGUGGAAUUCAGAGGGCUGGCCCCGUGCCUGAGCGGUUCAAUUCGAGCACUCUGCUGCAGGCGGCCCAGUGUUUCGCCGGUUCGAAUCCUGUGCACGGACAUGGCACUGCUCAUCAAACCACGCUGAGGCGGCGUCCCACAUGCCACAACUAGAAGGACCCACAACGAAGAAUAUACAACUAUGUACCGGGAGGCUUUGGGGAAAAAAAGGAAAAAAAUAAAUAAAUAAAAUUUUAAAAAGGUG